rnacentral:rRNA from 1 species
AGCGGCGAACGGGUGAGUAACACGUGAGUAACCUGCCUUUAAGUUGGGGAUAACCAUUCUAACGGAUGGCUAAUACCGAAUAUUGUAAUCCUUCGCAUGUUGUGAUUACGAAAGGAGCUUCGGCUUCGCUUAGAGAUGGACUCGCGUCUGAUUAGCUAGUUGGUGAGGUAACGGCCCACCAAGGCAACGAUCAGUAGCCGGCCUGAGAGGGUGAUCGGCCACAUUGGGACUGAGAUACGGCCCAGACUCC